rnacentral:rRNA from 1 species
UUUUUAUGGAGAGUUUGAUCCUGGCUCAGGAUGAACGCUGGCGGCGUGCCUAAUACAUGCAAGUCGAGCGAACAGACGAGGAGCUUGCUCCUCUGACGUUAGCGGCGGACGGGUGAGUAACACGUGGAUAACCUACCUAUAAGACUGGGAU